UACAGAGGGGGCAAGCGUUAUUCGGAAUUACUGGGCGUAAAGGGCUCGUAGGCGGCCAACUAAGUCAGACGUGAAAUCCCUCGGCUUAACCGGGGAACUGCGUCUGAUACUGGAUGGCUAGAGGUUGGGAGAGGGAUGCGGAAUUCCAGGUGUAGCGGUGAAAUGCGUAGAUAUCUGGAGGAACACCGGUGGCGAAGGCGGCAUCCUGGACCAAUUCUGACGCUGAGGAGCGAAAGCCAGGGGAGCAAACGGG
rnacentral:rRNA from 1 species